rnacentral:rRNA from 1 species
ACCCUUUGUGACAUACCUACAACUGUUGCUUCGGCGGGUAGGCCGUCCCCUGAAAAGGACGCCUCCCGGCCCGGACCGGACCCCCCGUGGGGCCGGACUCGGCGCCCGCCGGAGGAUAACCAAACGCUAUUUUAACGACGUUUCUUCUGAGUGGCAUAAGCAAAAUAAUCAAAACUUUUAACAACGGAUCUCUUGGUUCUGGCAUCGAUGAAGAACGCAGCGAAAUGCGAUAAGUAAUGUGAAUUGCAGAAUUCAGUGAAUCAUCGAAUCUUUGAACGCACAUUGCGCCCGCCAGCAUUCUGGCGGGCAUGCCUGUUCGAGCGUCAUUUCAACCCUCAAGCUCUGCUUGGUGUUGGGGCUCUACGGUCGACGUAGGCCCUCAAAGGUAGUGGCGGACCCUCCCGGAGCCUCCUUUGCGUAGUAACAUUUCGUCUCGCACUGGGAUCCGGAGGGACUCUUGCCGUAAAACCCCCCAAUUUUUCAAGGUUGACCUCGGAUCAGGUAGGAAUACCCGCUGAACUUAAGCAUAUCAA